GAAACUAGUAGUUGAAGCGACCGACUUGAGGCUGAAGGAAGACCUACUGAACUCACCUGCUGUUUGGACCGCAGUGCCAUAGUGGUGCUAGUCUAGCUUUUUGCCAUGUCUCUAGAUCCAGCAGCCUAUUGCUUUAGCGAAGACGAGAAAGUGCUCGAGAAAAUGUUGUUGAUCGCUAUGUAAAGCGAAGACGAUAAAAAACAAUACCAGAAAAAAGUGGUUGCGAGAGACACAGUGCCCGGCGUCCAGGAGUCUCCGUCCCGCCACUUCUGCAGGACUCUCGGCGGCCUCCUUCAGGAUGGCGUGCGGGUCCUCCCAGCUGUCGUCCCUCCUGCUGACGGCGCAGUCCUCCUCGACGCCGCCCCACCCGGAGGACGACUUGUUCCAGAUGUCACGCGAGGAGAAGGAGAAGCUCCUGACCAGAGAUGUGAACAUGAAAGAGAA